rnacentral:rRNA from 1 species
AAUGUCUGUCUCGUAAACUCAAACUAGUUCCUUUUAGGGCUACGCUUUGAACCGUUUGCGGGUCAUCCUUCUGGUUAGUGUUUCUCCCCUUGAUUGGGUUGGUUACACGAUCCAGAUCCUUUACUGUGAGCAAAUGGGAGUGUUUAAAGCAGGUCUUUAAUCACGCCUGAACCGUUUAGCAUGGAAUAAUAAAAUAAAACUUGGUUUUAUUUUGUUGGCAUUUAAAACUAAGUAAUGAUCGAAAGGGAUAGUUGGGGGUGCUCAUAUUCAGGGGGUAGCGGUGAAAUGCGAUGAUCCUCUGAAGAUGAACUAAUGCGAAAGCAUU